rnacentral:misc_RNA from 1 species
UAAUCCUCAACCCUUGGGUUGGACUUUGGACGCUGCGGUGGCCUGCCUCCCGCUCGUCUCAAAUUCAUUAGGGCUGCGUGAUCCGCCCGUCGGCGUUUAGUAAUGCUUGCGCCGCGCCAAGGUUCUGCGCCCUUUCUGGCCCCUCCCCCUGGGGGCGCCUUUGAAU